UCUCCUAAACCCAACCUUGGAUCUCCUCCUACGAGUAGCUUCCAGGUGUCUACAGGGAGCCCGGGGUCAUGCUGGCAUCACUCAUUCUCCACGCAUCAGAUGAUCCUGCGGCCCCUCAGUGCCAGGCCCCACUGGCCCUCCGGGCACAUCAGUGACUUUGAUGUGGUCCCCCCCAUGCUGCCAGUCUGAUGGUGGAGACAGAACAGCAGUCCUGGAUGGUCUCCAUGUUGUCACAUGGAAAAUGGAACUUUCCACCUCCUCGGGAUGUUAAGCUCAGCACAGUGCCUGUACAGGUGGAGGCAGUGCCCAGAGCUGUGGCAGCCACCUUGCAGCCGUGAAGCACCAGCGAGAAUGACAGUCAAGAGAACCAUGGAGAUGCCAGCCCCUGGACCCACAGCAACAGCACCUGCUUCCA